rnacentral:rRNA from 1 species
UGGCGCGGGCUAUAAUGCAGUCGAGCGGACAGAAGGGAGCUUGCUCCCGGAUGUUAGCGGCGGACGGGUGAGUAACACGUGGGUAACCUGCCUGUAAGACUGGGAUAACUCCGGGAAACCGGAGCUAAUACCGGAUAGUUCCUUGAACCGCAUGGUUCAAGGAUGAAAGACGGUUUCGGCUGUCACUUACAGAUGGACCCGCGGCGCAUUAGCUAGUUGGUGGGGUAAUGGCUCACCAAGGCGACGAUGCGUAGCCGACCUGAGAGGGUGAUCGGCCACACUGGGACUGAGACACGGCCCAGACUCCUACGGGAGGCAGCAGUAGGGAAUCUUCCGCAAUGGACGAAAGUCUGACGGAGCAACGCCGCGUGAGUGAUGAAGGUUUUCGGAUCGUAAAGCUCUGUUGUUAGGGAAGAACAAGUGCGAGAGUAACUGCUCGCACCUUGACGGUACCUAACCAGAAAGCCACGGCUAACUACCUGCCAGCAUCCGCCGUAAUACUUAGGUGGCAAGCGUUGUCCGGAAUUAUUGGGGGUAAAGGGCUCGCAGGCGGUUUCUUAAGUCUGAUGUGUAAGCCCCCGGCUCAACCGGGGAGGGUCAUUGGAAUUAGGUAAACUUGAG